GACGAACGCUGGCGGCGUGCUUAACACAUGCAAGUCGAACGGAAAGCCCUGCUUUUGUGGGGUGCUCGGGUGGCGAACGGGGGAGUAACACGGGAGUAACCUGCCCUUUACUUUGGGAUAACUUCAGGAAACUGGGGCUAAUACCGGAUAGGAGCUCCUGCUGCAUGGGGGGGGGUGGGAAGGUUCGGCGGUUGGGGAUGGACUCGCGGCUUAUCAGCUUGUUGGUGGGGUAGUGGCUUACCAAGGCUUUGACGGGUAGCCGGCCUGAGAGGGUGACCGGCCACAUUGGGACUGAGAUACGGCCCAGACUCCUACGGGAGGCAGCAGUGGGGAAUAUUGCACAAUGGGCGGAAGCCUGAUGCAGCAACGCCGCGUGCGGGAUGACGGCCUUUGGGUUGUAAACCGCUUUCGCCUGUGACGAAGCGUGAGUGACGGUAAUGGGUAAAGAAGCACCGGCUAACUACGUG
rnacentral:rRNA from 1 species